rnacentral:misc_RNA from 1 species
GUCCGGGUGUGCUACAGGAGGGUUGAGCUCAUGAUGCAUAUGCUGAAGACAGUAUGCUAUCCCCAUAAUAAUCCGCAUUCUAACCAUCCAAUCGAGGUGCUCGAAUUCUUUAACAUGAAGAUGCUCAAAUAGUGUCCCAUUAGGCGCGUACUCAAAAACCAUCAUCCUCAUAAAAGGUUCGUCCUCCUGACAGUAGCCGAGAAGAUUGAUGAAGUUUUUGUGCUUCACUUGUGAGAUUGUGUCUACCU